rnacentral:rRNA from 1 species
UACAGAGGUGGCAAGCGUUGUUCGGAAUUACUGGGCGUAAAGGGCGCGUAGGCGGUCUUCUAAGUCUUGUGUGAAAUCCCUCGGCUCAACUGAGGAACUGCACGGGAUACUGGAAAACUUGAGUUCGGGAGAGGGAAGCGGAAUUCCUGGUGUAGCGGUGAAAUGCGCAGAUAUCAGGAGGAACACCGAUGGCGAAGGCAGGUCUCUGGGCAUUAACUGACGCUGAGGAGCGAAAGCAUGGGGAGCGAACAGG